ACGUCGACGGCGGGGCGGGCCGUUUCCGCUCCGCGGAGGCGGACUGCCCGGACGGCUCGGCCGUCGAGGGCCGUUCCGUCGGCGUCGCCGUGCC
rnacentral:tRNA from 1 species